rnacentral:rRNA from 1 species
UGCGUGAAACCGUUCAGGGGUAAACGGGAGACAUCCUGAAUUCGAAAGGGUCUCGGGAUUCAUCCACUCCCCGCGAGGAUGCCCGCUCCACUUACAGGACGGUGCGCACGACGCCCGCCUCCGUCGCUCCGGCGCGGUGCGCGGUUCUCGUUCGUGCGCCUGCUUGUGUCGUGAAAAAAAGUGGGUAGGGGAGGGGUGCACUUCCCCCCUAGUAGAAACGUCGCGGCCCGUUGGGAGCGUCCGGUCUCAGGGCCCGGGUGCGGAAGCCACGCGGAAUCCUCGGCUGUUCCGGUGGUCCCCCCGGUGACCCGACCCGCACCCGACGGCCGUAGAAGGCCUGGUCGGCCGGCUCCCUUCGGGGAGAGCGUGCGGCCCGUCCCGGCGCCGGCGCGUUUCGCAACCGUGCCCGUGCUCGCACGGGCGGUCGGCCGCGCCCGAGCGCGUCAGCGCGACGGGUCUCGCACCCCGGCCCCGGAAGUCGCGACGCC